CCUACGGGUGGCAGCAGUGGGGAAUAUUGGACAAUGGGCGAAAGCCUGAUCCAGCCAUGCCGCGUGUGUGAAGAAGGCCUUCGGGUUGUAAAGCACUUUCAGUGGGGAAGAAAGCCUUGGGGCUAAUACCCUCGAGGAAGGACAUCACCCACAGAAGAAGCACCGGCUAACUCCGUGCCAGCAGCCGCGGUAAUACGGAGGGUGCGAGCGUUAAUCGGAAUUACUGGGCGUAAAGCGCGCGUAGGCGGUCUGAUAAGCCGGUUGUGAAAGCCCCGGGCUCAACCUGGGAACGGCAUCCGGAACUGUCAGGCUAGAGUGCAGGAGAGGAAGGUAGAAUUCCCGGUGUAGCGGUGAAAUGCGUAGAGAUCGGGAGGAAUACCAGUGGCGAAGGCGGCCUUCUGGACUGACACUGACGCUGAGGUGCGAAAGCGUGGGUAGCAAACAGGAUUAGUACCCUAGUAGUC
rnacentral:rRNA from 1 species